rnacentral:sRNA from 1 species
GGAGGCGUUCAAGCCCCAGGGCUCCUUGAGGAAACAACAGGGGUGCCAGACGUGGCCCGGGCUCCUGGCUGGACCCAGUUCGGGGUGUGUGGGAGCUGAGGACUGGCUGGGCUUGAGGACUGGCUGAUGUGGAGUGAGGGGAGGCUGGGGCCUGGAACCGAGUGCUUUGCUCCUAACAGGUGAUGUCGGGCCUGGCAGAGCUGGAGGACGACUGCAAAGAGAGCUACCUGGACACAAUGGAGGCUCAUUAUCAGGAACACCACCCAGAGCUCACUCCUCUACUUGAAAAAGAAAGAGAUGGAUUACGGUGCCGAGGCAACAGGUCCCCUGUCCCGGAUGUUGAGGAUCCCGCAACCGAGGAGCCUGGGGAGAGCUUUUGUGACAAGUCCUAAGGAGCCCCAUGGGGGACAAGGAGGAGCUGACACCCCAGAAGUGCUCUGAACCCCACUCCUCAAAAUGGAGAUACUGACACCACCUUUGCCCUCACUGUUACUUCGCAGCCACCCUGACCCCUCAC